rnacentral:rRNA from 1 species
CACGAACGCUGGCGGCAGGCUUAACACAUGCAAGUCGAGCGCCCCGCAAGGGGAUCGGCAGACGGGUGAGUAGCGCGUGGGAAUCUACCCAUCUCUACGCAAUAACGCGUGGAAACGUGUGCUAAUACCGUAUACGUCCUCCGGGCGAAAGCUUUAUCGGAGAUGGAUGAGCCCGCGAUGGAUUAGCUGGUAGGUGGGGUAAAGGCCCACCAAGGCGACGAUCCAUAGCUGGUCUGAGAGGAUGAUCAGCCACACUGGGGCUGAGACCAGGCCCAGAGUCCUACGGGAGGAGGCUGUGGGGAAUAUUGGACAAUGGGCGCAAGCCUGAUCCAGCCAUGCGGCGUGAGUGAUGAAGGCCCUAGGGUGGUAAAGCUCUUUCACCGGUGAAGAUAAUGACGGUAACCGGAGAAGAAGCCCCGGCUAACUUCGUGCCAGCAGCCGCCGCAGUAA